CAGCCACAGGGUUCUUAAGGAAGCCCCGCCCUUCCAACCAAAAGUAGGAAUGAAGGGGAUUCAAGCUCCGCCCACUUUCGACGUAAGGUGGGGAAAGGUGGCUUUGGUCACCUGACAGUGACACUGCCCUCCUUGAACUGGGGCAGAGCUGUUGGAGUGGGAGGCGGUGGUGGCUGCAUGCACACUGUAGAAUCAAUGCAGUUUGACACCGCUUCAAUUGCCAUGGCUCAUUUUUAUGGAAUCCUGGGAUCUGUGCUUUGGUGCAGCAUCGGCACUCUUUGUCAGGUUCAGCUACUUGUUCCAAACCAGUAAACCCAUGGAAUCAACAUCUAAAUGAAAAUGGGUUUUGCCUCCUUCACUGCUUCUCCGUCCCA
rnacentral:lncRNA from 1 species